GACGAACGCUGGCGGCGUGCUUAACACAUGCAAGUCGAACGGUAAGGCUCCAGCUUGCUGGGGUACACGAGUGGCGAACGGGUGAGUAACACGUGGGUGACCUGCCCUGCACUUCGGGAUAAGCCUGGGAAACUGGGUCUAAUACCGGAUAGGACCGCACCGUGAGGGUGUGGUGGAAAGUUUUUUCGGUGUGGGAUGGGCCCGCGGCCUAUCAGCUUGUUGGUGGGGUAAUGGCCUACCAAGGCGGCGACGGGUAGCCGGCCUGAGAGGGUGGACGGCCACAUUGGGACUGAGACACGGCCCAGACUCCUACGGGAGGCAGCAGUGGGGAAUAUUGCACAAUGGGCGGAAGCCUGAUGCAGCGACGCAGCGUGGGGGAUGACGGCCUUCGGGUUGUAAACUCCUUUCACCAUCGACGAAGGGUUUCUGACGUUAGAUGGAGAAGAAGCACCGGCUAACUACGUG
rnacentral:rRNA from 1 species